UCUAAUAUGGCAGAAGCAGUGCAUUAGAUUUAAGAUCUAUAAAUAAAGUUUAUAUCAAUCUUUUAUUAGAA
rnacentral:tRNA from 1 species